CAGUGUAAUGCCCCCACCCAAGGUGUUGGACAUGGUGGUAGAGCCCUACAAUGUCACCCUCUCCGUCCACCAGCUCACAGAAAACACAGACGAGACCUUUUGCAUUGAUAAGGAAGCUCUCUAAGACAUCUGCUUCCGACCCCUAAAGCUGCCCACACCCACCUAUGGUGUCCUGAGCCACCUGGUGUCUGCACUGUGAGUGGGGUCACCACCUGCCUGAGCUUCCAGGGCCAGCUCAAUGGCCAUGAACAGGGUCCUAUUCCCCCGCUUGCACUUCUUCAUGUCUGGACUCAUCCAGACCAUACAGGACAACCAGCAGUACUGAGCCCCGAUGGUGCCCAAGCCCAUCCAGCGGAUGUUUGAUGCCAAGAAUAUGAUGGCUGCGUGGGACCCCCCUCUGUGGCUGUUGCUUAGCAGCUGCCAUGUUCAGGGGCCGUACGUGCACGGAGGAGGUGGAUAAGUAAAUGCUUAAUCUCCAAAACAAGGACAGCAGCUACUUUGUUCAUUGAAUCCCCCACAAGGUGAAAACAGCUGUCUGUAACAUCCCACCCUGGGGGCUAAAGAUGGCUGCCACCGUCAUUGGCAACAACACAGCCAUCUAGGAGCUGUUCAGGUGCAUCUCGUACAGUUCACAGCCAUUUUCUGGCACAAAGCCUUCCAGCACUAGUACAUGGGAAGUGGCAUGGAUGAGAUGGAGUUCACUGAGGCUGUGAGCAGCAUGAACAUGUCCGAGUACAGGAUACCACAGCCAAGGAGGAGAGAGAGUUUGAGGAGUGGGCCUAUGAGGAGGUGGCCUAG
rnacentral:lncRNA from 1 species